GAGAGGGUCAAUGGCGAGAGUGAAGAGAGUGAGUUGGGGGCGACGAUGGUGAGCUUUGGAGGCAGGCAGGGUUUCUACUUCACGAUGAAGGUGCUUGUGGGGGUGAG